GACACCAUAGCCAACUGGUAACGGUAACAGACAAGAAAUCUGUUUCCCUUCGAGCGUGCGGACAGGAAAUCUGCUCCUCUUUGGGAAUGCAGGUUCGACUCCUGCUGGUGUUU